GAUGAACGCUAGCGGGAGGCCUAACACAUGCAAGCCGAGCGGUAUUUGUCUUUCGGGACAGAGAGAGCGGCGUACGGGUGCGGAACACGUGUGCAACCUGCCUUUAUCUGGGGGAUAGCCUUUCGAAAGGAAGAUUAAUACCCCAUAAUAUAAUGAAUGGCAUCAUUUAUUAUUGAAAACUCCGGUGGAUAGAGAUGGGCACGCGCAAGAUUAGAUAGUUGGUGAGGUAACGGCUCACCAAGUCGAUGAUCUUUAGGGGGCCUGAGAGGUGGAUCCCCCACACUGGUACUGAGACACGGACCAGACUCCUACGGGAGGCAGCAGUGAGGAAUAUUGGACAAUGGGUUAGCGCCUGAUCCAGCCAUCCCGCGUGAAGGACGACGGCCCUAUGGGUUGUAAACUUCUUUUGUACAGGGAUAAACCUACUCUCGUGAGAGUAGCUGAAGGUACUGUACGAAUAAGCACCGGCUAACUCCGUGCCAGCCGCCGCAGUAA
rnacentral:rRNA from 1 species